GCUGGGCAUGGUGGUGCAUGCCUGUAAUCCCAGCUACUUGGGAGGCUGAGGCAAGAGAAUCGCUUGAAUCUGGGAGGUGGAGGUUGCAGUGAGCUGAGAUCAUGCCACUGCACUCCAGCCUGGGUGACAGAGUGAGACUCUGUCUCAA
rnacentral:SRP_RNA from 1 species